GACGAACGCUGGCGGCGUGCUUAACACAUGCAAGUCGAACGCAUCGCAAGAUGAGUGGCAGACGGGUGAGUAACGCGUGGGAACAUACCCCUUUCUACGGAAUAGCUCUGGGAAACUGGAAUUAAUACCGUAUACGCCCUACGGGGGAAAGAUUUAUCGGGGAAGGAUUGGCCCGCGUUGGAUUAGCUAGUUGGUGGGGUAAAGGCCUACCAAGGCGACGAUCCAUAGCUGGUCUGAGAGGAUGAUCAGCCACAUUGGGACUGAGACACGGCCCAAACUCCUACGGGAGGCAGCAGUGGGGAAUAUUGGACAAUGGGCGCAAGCCUGAUCCAGCCAUGCCGCGUGAGUGAUGAAGGCCUUAGGGUUGUAAAGCUCUUUCACCGAUGAAGAUAAUGACGGUAGUCGGAGAAGAAGCCCCGGCUAACUUCGUGCCAGCCGCCGCUGUAA
rnacentral:rRNA from 1 species